CUACGGGUGGCUCCAGUGAGGAAUUUUGCGCAAUGGGGGAAACCCUGACGCAGCAACGCCGCGUGAGUGAAGAAGGCUUUCGGGUCGUAAAGCUCUGUCAGAUAGGAAAAAAGUUCAUAUGUAAAUAGCUUAUGAAUCUGAUGGUACUAUCAGAGGAAGCACCGGCUAAGUCCGUGCCAGCAGCCGCGGUAAUACGGAGGGUGCAAGCGUUGUUCGGAAUUACUGGGCGUAAAGGGCGUGUAGGCGGUAUGGUAAGUCAGAUGUGAAAGCCCUGGGCUUAACUCAGGAAGUGCAUUUGAUACUGCCAUCCUUGAGUAUGGGAGAGGAGAGUAGAAUUCCCAGUGUAGAGGUGAAAUUCGUAGAUAUUGGGAGGAAUACCCGUGGCGAAGGCGACUCUCUGGACCAAUACUGACGCUGAGACGCGAAAGCGUGGGGAGCAAACAGGAUUAGAUACCCUAGUAGUC
rnacentral:rRNA from 1 species